AUUGUGAAAGCGGGAGACCAGUGUGAGCGCCUUCCUGAAUUCUGUGGGCCGCUGGUCCCAUCUAAUUCAGUUACUUGUUUUCACCCGUCCCCCAGGCGCGGAGACCAAGCUCAUUGCUGAGCUCCAGCUAGCCCACAAUACAUAGUAUUUAUUAAGCUAAGAGUUAAUUGUCUUAAGCGACUAGAUAAGAUGGAUCUGCAGUUAGCAUAAAGUUAACUACCCUGCGAAAGAGGAGUUGGUCUUUAAAUGGUGUUUUUCACUUGAAGAGAAAAGAAGGUACUGGGCAGGAACAUAGCUUAGCAGGCCUAGGGAAUGGGUGGAAGGAAAAUUGCACUGAGGACUUACAUAGAAUGUGGUGUUUGUUCAGCAAUGAUUGAGUAGAAAGGUGAUUGUUUCGUUUUGCUUGUUUGGUUGGUUGGGAAAUAAAUAGGAGUGAAAGAUUUCGCCUCGAUCUUUAUUUAGAGCCCAAGAGUUGUUGUGACUCAGUUUUAGCUGGUAGUGGCUUGUACACGCCAGGGGAGUUUUAGAACUGUUCUGAAGAGAGAUGGCAGCAGUUCUUCCACCUUUUCGAUGACUGUUGAAAUCCUGAAGAUUAGCUGUCCGACUGGUUAGGUUACACAAGAUGAUUCAAACACAGCUUUCAUGUUUGAGAAAAUAGACCAAGAAUCUUGAAAGCCAAAUGUUCUCAUUAAGAAGCUGUUAGAGUGCAAUAAUGCAUUCUAAAUGCCUGUCUUAGAAGAUAUUUCACAAGUUAAUGGAUUUUUUAAGUUUUUCAAAGAUAUAGUAAGUGGAUGGUUACUGAACAUGGAUACAAAAUACAUUGAACCUAUAAAAAAGUUACUCAAAUAUUAUUAAAAAAUUUUUUUUCUGAAAUUUUUUUUGUGUUAUCAAAACAAUACAGGCUCAUUAGCGGAGAUGUGAAAAGAAUAGUAUAAGGUAGAAGAAGCCACUUAUUUCUACCAUCCAAGAUUAACUACUGUCAACAUUAAAAGCAUUUCGUUUUUGUCUUCUUAA